rnacentral:rRNA from 1 species
CCUACGGGAGGCAGCAGUGAGGAAUAUUGGUCAAUGGACGAGAGUCUGAACCAGCCAAGUAGCGUGAAGUAUGACUGCCCUAUGGGUUGUAAACUUCUUUUAUAUGGGAAUAAAAUGUUCCACGUGUGGGAUUUUGUAUGUACCAUAUGAAUAAGGAUCGGCUAACUCCGUGCCAGCAGCCGCGGUAAUACGGAGGAUCCGAGCGUUAUCCGGAUUUAUUGGGUUUAAAGGGAGCGUAGGUGGAUUGUUAAGUCAGUUGUGAAAGUUUGCGGCUCAACCGUAAAAUUGCAGUUGAAACUGGCAGUCUUGAGUACAGUAGAGGUGGGCGGAAUUCGUGGUGUAGCGGUGAAAUGCUUAGAUAUCACGAAGAACUCCGAUUGCGAAGGCAGUUCACUGGACUGCAACUGACACUGAGGCUCGAAAGUGUGGGUAUCAAACAGGAUUAGAUACCCGAGUAGUC